rnacentral:tRNA from 2 species
GGGCGAUUAGCUCAGAGGGAGAGCGCUUCCCUGACACGGAAGAGGCCACUGGUUCAAUUCCAGUAUCGCCCACCA